CGAGAACUCACUUGCCGAUCACGAUUGAUCUCACAGAUCCAAUGGUAUGAAGUAGAGGAAUUGACAGAGCCUGAGAGAUCCUCAAGACCAAUAGCCCUCUUUUUGGUAGUGUGUCCUCCUGAACCAAACUGACAAAUAGGCCUCUGAUUUUUAUUUAACAGAGCCAACUAGAAAAUUAAAUAUGAAAUAUCUCUGAAGAUGCCUAUGAAACAAAAGCACAUAUUCCCUGUUUAAAUAAAUGUGGAGACCUCACCAUCCAUUUGUGCCUGCUCUUUAUCCAUCUUGGUUCUUCCCUGACGUGUAGUUCUUUUAUUGCUGCUUCAGAAAUACCAGGAUAAACUGGAUAUUGCUAUGCCAUAUUGCAAUUGUCCAUGAUAGAUUUGAUUUGAGUAGUAAUGAUGGCUUUCUCUUCCCACAGGCUGUGCAAAUCAUGAAUGGCCUAAUUUACUAUGCAUUGGGGUUUCUUUGUUUUGCAUUAUUUGUCUCAGAAGAGGACAGGAAACAAACUGGUCAUAUCCCUGUUGUUGUUACACUAAUUUACAUAUUUUGGUCAGCACCAUUUGAACUCAUUUUCCUGGACUGCAAGAUUCCCAGUCCCCUUCAGAUGAAUCAUCUUUUGUUAGUGCUAUGGGCAGAUUGAAGGCAGGUAUAAGAUCUACCUUUGGGGAAAAUAAUUAAGUUCUUCAUUUAUCAGGGACAACAGUUCUUUCAAUUGGUGCCAGAAGGUGAUGUUAGCACUCAGGACAUGUUUGUGCAAGACAAGGUGUCACUCUUCAAAUCAAAUGCUUUGAAAUUAUUUCCUAUUGAUGAAAUCUUUCUUCUACAGCAUUAGGGGAGGGAGUAUUUGCAAGUGAGAGCCACCUCACUGGCCACUAGAGAUUACUUUCUAAUAAUUUAAAUCAUAAGCUUAAUAAAUGACAGUCCAAACAUAUGAACUACCUACUG
rnacentral:lncRNA from 12 species